UUCGCAAUGCCCGAAAGGGUGACGAAGCGACGCCGCGUGGGUGAGGAAGGCCUUCGGGUUGUAAAGCCCUGUCAGGAGUUAAGAAAUAUAAGUGUGUUAAUACCGCAUUUAUUUGACGAAGGCUCCAAAGGAAGCCACGGCUAACUCUGUGCCAGCAGCCGCGGUAAUACAGAGGUGGCAAGCGUUGUUCGGAAUUAUUGGGCGUAAAGAGCACGUAGGUGGGUUUGUAAGUCAGAUGUGAAAGCCUUCUGUUCAACGGGAGAAUUGCAUCUGAAACUGCAAGUCUUGAGUAUAGGAGGGGAGAAUGGAACUUCUGGUGGAGCGGUGAAAUGCGUAGAUAUCAGAAGGAACGCCGGCGGCGAAAGCGACUCUCUGGCCUAUUACUGACACUGAGUGUGCGAAAGUUAGGGGAGCAAACGGGGUUAGAUACCCCGGUAGUCCUAACCGUAAACGAUGGGCACUAAGUAGAGGGGUUUU
rnacentral:rRNA from 1 species